AUGUCAAUACUUUUAGAAAUUAUUUCUGUAGUGUCUAACUGAGAAAAGAGAGAUUUGGAAGUCUUAUGUCUCUCUAAUCACAAUGAUAAGCUGUUACGUAUUUAUCUGAGCUUGAAACAGAUUUUCGCUGAUGAUUCUGUCAUGGACUUUAAUCACUGAUGAAUAUUCUUUAUUCUUAUGAGGUGUUGCAGAGUAUUUGAUCCAGGUGAU